GACGAACGCUGGCGGCGUGCCUAAUACAUGCAAGUUUGAGCGCUGAAGGUUGGUACUUGUACCAACUGGAUGAGCAGCGAACGGGUGAGUAACGCGUGGGGAAUCUGCCUUUGAGCGGGGGACAACAUUUGGAAACGAAUGCUAAUACCGCAUAAAAACUUUAAACACAAGUUUUAAGUUUGAAAGAUGCAAUUGCAUCACUCAAAGAUGAUCCCGCGUUGUAUUAGCUAGUUGGUGAGGUAAAGGCUCACCAAGGCGAUGAUACAUAGCCGACCUGAGAGGGUGAUCGGCCACAUUGGGACUGAGACACGGCCCAAACUCCUACGGGGAGGCAGCAGUAGGGAAUCUUCGGGCAAUGGAACGAAAGUUCUGGACCGAAGCCAAACGUCGCGUGAGUGAAAGAAAGGUUUUU
rnacentral:rRNA from 1 species